rnacentral:tRNA from 1 species
GCCCGGAUGGUGAAAUCGGUAGACACGCAGGACUUAAAAUCCUGUGGAGUAAAAUCCAUGUCGGUUCAAGUCCGACUCCGGGCA